CUGGUCAGGGGACUCCCCCAGAAGGCUCUCCAUGAAAGGAUGACUCCUCCCUUUAUGGGGCUCUGCCAACAUGUAGUCUUGGGAGAACUUUCCAUUCAGUCCUAGGAUGCAAAAUGAGAAAUACAGAGGCUAGCAUGGAAAGGGCUUCUCUGAGUCAGGCUAGGACAGUAUUAGAGACAUCUCCCUGGUAAAAUUCUGACCUAGGGCACAAGCUUGUCUGUAAACACACACUACUGUCACAGAGACUGGAGAAUCUGUGUGGAUACCAUAACAGGAUAUGGUGCACUCACUCCUCCUCUCAGUCCAUCAGCUGGAGCUCAGCCCCAUGUCCUACCCUCUACCUGCACAAAAAGCCAGCAAAUGGAGUUAAGCCUUGUGUUCUGGAGAAAAAAGAAAGCACAUUUGGUGAGUGCAUACAUCCUUGCCACAUACUUGAUAGGCUGUGAACCAACUCAUGCAGUUUGUGAAUAUAAACAGAAACUCUCUUCUGUAAUUCCUCAUAAAUUGCCAGGCUCACUUUACCUUCUUCUUGGAAAGGAUAUUAGGUAGAUUUCCAUGCAUUGCUUCUACUUUCUCUACCCCAAUUCCUGACGUUUGAAUAUACUUGAAGACCUGCCAAACCACACAAUAUGUAAAUUCCUGGAUCCUAUCAAUGCCAAAUCUACCCACCCUCUUUUUCAGUCACCUGAUCCCUCUGGGCUUCCUUACCCCAACCUGUAAUGGCUGAUAUAUAGGCUUCUAUGUACUCUGGCUUCUAGAUGGGUGCAAACAAUGGGAAGCAAACAAUGGAAGAAACAGGACAGGAAAGUAACAAGAGUGACCACCUAGAGAUAACCAGUGUUAACAUU
rnacentral:lncRNA from 1 species